rnacentral:misc_RNA from 1 species
AAAGAACUGCCAACAGAGUCUCAAAACAUUGCCUUUUGUCACAAUGACAUGCAGUAUGGUAACAUAAUGAUUGACGACAAAACAAAGGCUGUUACUAUCAUUGACUAUGAGUAUGGCGGUUAUAAUCCAAUUGCUUAUGACUUUGCGAACCACUUCUGUGAAAUGACUGCAAAUUAUCAUACUGAUACCCCUCAUAUCAUGCACUUCAACACUUACCCUGAUUUUGAGGAGCGACAGCGAUUUGUACGUGCAUAUCUCAGUUCAUCAGGCAAUCAACCAAGUGAUGAGGAAGUAAAGAAACUUGUUGACGAAUCAGAGAAAUAUACGCUUGCAAAUCACUUGUUCUGGGGAUUGUGGGGAGUCAUCUCGGCAUAUGUUAACAAUAUCGAGUUUGACUACAUGGAGUACGCGAGGGGAAGGUUCAAG